rnacentral:rRNA from 1 species
UACGUAGGUGGCGAGCGUUAUCCGGAUUUACUGGGUGUAAAGGGAGCGUAGGCGGCGCGUUAAGUCUGAUGUGAAAACCCGAGGCUCAACCACGGGAGUGCAUUGGAAACUGGCGAGCUGGAGUGCCGGAGAGGUAAGCGGAAUUCCUAGUGUAGCGGUGAAAUGCGUAGAUAUUAGGAGGAACACCAGUGGCGAAGGCGGCUUACUGGACGGCAACUGACGCUGAGGCUCGAAAGCGUGGGGAGCAAACAGG